CUAAGGGCCUGGUUCCAGUAAAAGCAGGAGGUAUCAGUCGCUCUCCUGCCUACUCUGUUCUUCUUCCCCUUGCCUCUGUUCUCAGCUGCUUGAUCUUUUCCUCCUUUGCGUCACUGUGGCACUCAUCUGUUCGUACGGCAUUUCCAUGGCAGGUACUCACAUCAAGGGAAAAACAGGCAGCGUAAUAAUGGAUGUGACAGUCUGCAAAAUGCUGUGUGCUGUGUCAAAAUAAUCCAGUCCAUAACCAAGAUACCCUCUGGAUGCCACCACCUCAUUGGAAGACAAGGAACAGGCAGUAGAAGACAUAAGAAGUGUUCUGAGAAGAGAGACACAGGAUAUGGCAGUAUUAUUGUCAACUUUAAUUUCAGUAUUUUUGGAUUUUCAUGUUCUGGUUAGCUGUUGAAGAAAAUGGAGAGAACAUAAGUAACCCCUAAGAAAGCAUGUAUUUUCAAGUCUUCAAUGUGAAAACUUCAUUUAUGAUUAAUUGUGGGUAAUGCAGUUGGAUGGUUUGCACAUGGUCAGAAAGCUUUUCUAUUUAAUCCCUUAGUGUGAUGUUUACUUCUUUCUUUAAAAAAUAAAAAUAAAAAAAAUAGCUUUUAUGUUUGUACA
rnacentral:lncRNA from 1 species